rnacentral:rRNA from 1 species
CACGACUACGAGUUUGAUCAUGGCUCAGAACGAACGCUGGCGGCAGGCCUAACACAUGCAAGUCGAGCGAACCCUUCGGGGUUAGCGGCGGACGGGUUAGUAACGCGUGGGAAUAUACCCUUUGGUACGGAAUAGCCUCGGGAAACUGAGAGUAAUACCGUAUGUGCCCUUCGGGGAAGAUUAUCGCCAAAGGAUUAGCCCGCGUUGGAUUAGAUAGUUGGUGGGGUAAUGGCCUACCAAGUCUACGAUCCAUAGCUGGUUUGAGAGGAUGAUCAGCAACACUGGGACUGAGACACGGCCCAGACUCCUACGGGAGGCAGCAGUGGGGAAUCUUAGACAAUGGGCGCAAGCCUGAUCUAGCCAUGCCGCGUGGACGAUGAAGGCCUUAGGGUUGUAAAGUCCUUUCAGAUGGGAAGAUAAUGACGGUACCAGCAGAAGAAGCCCCGGCUAACUCCGUG